UUAAGCGACUAAGCGUACACGGUGGAUGCCCUGGCAGUCAGAGGCGAUGAAGGACGUGCUAAUCUGCGAAAAGCGUCGGUAAGGUGAUAUGAACCGUUAUAACCGGCGAUGUCCGAAUGGGGAAACCCAGUGCAAUUCGUUGCACUAUCGUUAACUGAAUACAUAGGUUAACGAGGCGAACCGGGGGAACUGAAACAUCUAAGUACCCCGAGGAAAAGAAAUCAACCGAGAUUCCCCCAGUAGCGGCGAGCGAACGGGGAGCAGCCCAGAGUCUGAAUCAGCUUGUGUGUUAGUGGAACGGUCUGGAAAGUCCGACGGUACAGGGUGAUAGUCCCGUACACCAAAAUGCACAGGUUGUGAACUCGAAGAGUAGGGCGGGACACGUGGUAUCCUGUCUGAAUAUGGGGGGACCAUCCUCCAAGGCUAAAUACUCCUGACUGACCGAUAGUGAACCAGUACCGUGAGGGAAAGGCGAAAAGAACCCCGGCGAGGGGAGUGAAAAAGAACCUGAAACCGUGUACGUACAAGCAGUGGGAGCACCUUCGGGUGUGACUGCGUACCUUUUGUAUAAUGGGUCAGCGACUUAUAUUCUGUAGCAAGGUUAACCGUAUAGGGGAGCCGCAGGGAAACCGAGUCUUAACUGGGCGUUAAGUUGCAGGGUAUAGACCCGAAACCCGGUGAUCUAGCCAUGGGCAGGUUGAAGGUUGGGUAACACUAACUGGAGGACCGAACCGACUAAUGUUGAAAAAUUAGCGGAUGACUUGUGGCUGGGGGUGAAAGGCCAAUCAAACCGGGAGAUAGCUGGUUCUCCCCGAAAGCUAUUUAGGUAGCGCCUCGUGAAUUCAUCUUCGGGGGUAGAGCACUGUUUCGGCUAGGGGGUCAUCCCGACUUACCAACCCGAUGCAAACUACGAAUACCGAAGAAUGUUAUCACGGGAGACACACGGCGGGUGCUAACGUCCGUCGUGAAGAGGGAAACAACCCAGACCGCCAGCUAAGGUCCCAAAGUCAUGGUUAAGUGGGAAACGAUGUGGGAAGGCACAGACAGCCAGGAUGUUGGCUUAGAAGCAGCCAUCAUUUAAAGAAAGCGUAAUAGCUCACUGGUCGAGUCGGCCUGCGCGGAAGAUGUAACGGGGCUAAACCAUGCACCGAAGCUGCGGCAGCGACACUAUGUGUUGUUGGGUAGGGGAGCGUUCUGUAAGCCUGCGAAGGUGNNNNNNNNNNNNNNNNNNNNNAAAUCGUACCCCAAACCGACACAGGUGGUCAGGUAGAGAAUACCAAGGCGCUUGAGAGAACUCGGGUGAAGGAACUAGGCAAAAUGGUGCCGUAACUUCGGGAGAAGGCACGCUGGUGUGUAGGUGAAGUCCCUGCGGAUGGAGCUGAGACCAGUCGAAGAUACCAGCUGGCUGCAACUGUUUAUUAAAAACACAGCACUGUGCAAACACGAAAGUGGACGUAUACGGUGUGACGCCUGCCCGGUGCCGGAAGGUUAAUUGAUGGGGUUAUCCGUAAGGAGAAGCUCUUGAUCGAAGCCCCGGUAAACGGCGGCCGUAACUAUAACGGUCCUAAGGUAGCGAAAUUCCUUGUCGGGUAAGUUCCGACCUGCACGAAUGGCGUAAUGAUGGCCAGGCUGUCUCCACCCGAGACUCAGUGAAAUUGAACUCGCUGUGAAGAUGCAGUGUACCCGCGGCAAGACGGAAAGACCCCGUGAACCUUUACUAUAGCUUGACACUGAACAUUGAGCCUUGAUGUGUAGGAUAGGUGGGAGGCUUUGAAGCGUGGACGCCAGUCUGCGUGGAGCCAACCUUGAAAUACCACCCUUUAAUGUUUGAUGUUCUAACGUUGGCCCCUUACCGGGGUUGCGGACAGUGUCUGGUGGGUAGUUUGACUGGGGCGGUCUCCUCCCAAAGCGUAACGGAGGAGCACGAAGGUUAGCUAAUCCUGGUCGGACAUCAGGAGGUUAGUGCAAUGGCAUAAGCUAGCUUGACUGCGAGCGUGACGGCGCGAGCAGGUGCGAAAGCAGGUCAUAGUGAUCCGGUGGUUCUGAAUGGAAGGGCCAUCGCUCAACGGAUAAAAGGUACUCCGGGGAUAACAGGCUGAUACCGCCCAAGAGUUCAUAUCGACGGCGGUGUUUGGCACCUCGAUGUCGGCUCAUCACAUCCUGGGGCUGAAGUAGGUCCCAAGGGUAUGGCUGUUCGCCAUUUAAAGUGGUACGCGAGCUGGGUUUAGAACGUCGUGAGACAGUUCGGUCCCUAUCUGCCGUGGGCGCUGGAGAAUUGAGGGGGGCUGCUCCUAGUACGAGAGGACCGGAGUGGACGCAUCACUGGUGUUCGGGUUGUCAUGCCAAUGGCACUGCCCGGUAGCUAAAUGCGGAAGAGAUAAGUGCUGAAAGCAUCUAAGCACGAAACUUGCCCCGAGAUGAGUUCUCCCUGAGACUUUAAGUCUCCUGAAGGAACGUU
rnacentral:rRNA from 1 species